GUGAACGCUGGCGGUAGGCCUAACACAUGCAAGUCGCACGGCAGCACAGUAAGAGCUUGCUCUUACGGGUGGCGAGUGGCGGACGGGUGAGGAAUACAUCGGAAUCUACUUUUUCGUGGGGGAUAACGUAGGGAAACUUACGCUAAUACCGCAUACGACCUACGGGUGAAAGCAGGGGAUCUUCGGACCUUGCGCGAUUGAAUGAGCCGAUGUCGGAUUAGCUAGUUGGCGGGGUAAAGGCCCACCAAGGCGACGAUCCGUAGCUGGUCUGAGAGGAUGAUCAGCCACACUGGAACUGAGACACGGUCCAGACUCCUACGGGAGGCAGCAGUGGGGAAUAUUGGACAAUGGGCGCAAGCCUGAUCCAGCCAUACCGCGUGGGUGAAGAAGGCCUUCGGGUUGUAAAGUCCUUUUGUUGGGAAAGAAAAGCAGCAGGUUAAUACCCCGCUGUUCUGACGGUACCCAAAGAAUAAGCACCGGCUAACUUCGUG
rnacentral:rRNA from 1 species